UACAUUGGUUUGGUAAAACAAUUACGUUUUUUGACUUUUAGAAUGCAUACAUUCAUUGACUAUAUUUUUGGCACAAUCAUUUGUAUGUUAAUAGAGACAUUAUAUUCCCCUUCAAACAAAUGCACUGUCGUAUUGACAUUUUUUUAUUUGACAAACAUGCCCACAUUUUUCAUCUAGUUGGUCCAAGACGGAUUCUCAUACAAUUUAUGCUCCAAAUUUAGGUAGCCGCCGAUCACUGGAAACAUAAACCAGGAAGUGCAACCAAAAAGCAGGAACUGGAGAAGACAUGAAACUUCCCACACAGACCAAAAGUGUUUGACAAGCCAAGUCACGCCCACAAUGGCUGACUGAAGAGGAGAAGUUGACAUCUCUGAUUUCCUGGUCGAAUACAGGGACGAAACCUCAGGUGAGGCCACCAUGAGCGCGGUUUCACAGGUUAGUGACCAAACCCUGCCUACCGUCUGAGUGCACACUGAGUUGGCUUAUGGGGCCUCCCAAUUUGUCUGCAUGUCGCCAAUAAUAUGACGUUGCAGAAACAUGCAUUAUACACCAUGACAUUUACAGCCUGUGUAAUGUCAAUGUAAUUGUGACGUCAUUAUUCUUGCUAAUCGGACAACAAAAUACACAGAAAUGUUGCCUCCUGAAGCGGUGGAGGCGUUCGUGAGCUGGAAAGUGCAUGUCACUGACGUCCUUCCAUAGAGGAAAAGCAAACAUUUUUGUCUUUUUUUUUCUUUCUGCUAGCACUAGCUAGCAGCAAAUCAAAUGCAUGCAACAUAUGUUUAUGCUCUGCUGAAUGAAUGAAUGAAUUUGACUUCAAUGAAUUUGAUUUGUGUUCAUAUUGCAUUGAGUAAACAUAAUUACAUUGAGAGGAAAAAUAACCCAUCCAUUACUUGAUUUGCGGAAACACACAGGAUGUAACCAAAGGCACGCUCCUAAAGAGCAAGUGAGAUGCCACAUAUAGCUCUUUAAUCCCACAGAUUAGCAUAGAAUUACAGACUUUCAGACGCAGGGAUUGACUUCACAUAACACAUUCCCUUCUGUCGGACUUUCCUGUCAUCAUCAUCUUCAUCAUCAUCCGCUGAGUGCAGGUGUAUGUUCAUUUCACAACAAUCCAUAGUCUGGGGCAGCUGGUGACAUUAUCAUGACGCUACCAUUAAACGGUUCAGUGCACAUUCAGUGCAUUCACAUUUAGAAUAACAUAGGGUGACCAAACGUCCUGUUUUCCCAGGACACAUCCUGUUUUCACAUCCUGUCCUGACCGUCCUGUUUUUUUUUUGUUUUUUUUUCAGAACGUGAUGAAAAUGUCCUGGUUUUCAUUGUUUUUCAUUAGGCCAUUAAAUUGGACUUUGAGAGGGCACAUUUUUCCCAAAAAUAUUGGUUCCAUCCCAACACUUAAUAAGCAUUUGACCUCUGAUUUUCUGUGUUGUUCUGCAUUAGGAGUCAUUUUUGUGACGGUUCUUGAACUGUUUGUAAUUUGGGUCUUUGUUUAUAGAUAGUAUUUUGUAAUAUAACAAUUUUCUGUUCAUACAGAAGAAGCAUACUUUAAAUAUAUUGUAAUUAUGAGGCAUAUUUGAGUAAACUUCCAGUGUUAUUUGAGUAUGUCAUUGCAAGCCGCUUUAUCUCUCACUUGUAGGCACUAGGGCAUACCGUUGGUAUUCUUUCUUUUUUUCUUUGGAUGGCUAAAAUACUUUGUGGUUUUGUUGGUGACAGUCGUAUAUAAGGCUACCUGUACGUCUGCCUCCUGUAAGAAAAGUGUCAUGUACCCUCAACAUGGUAGCAGAUAGGUACUGUGCAUACUGCAUGCAGUAUUUCCUUUUCUCUAUCCAGCAGCACUUAUCAGAUAUACUCUGAAAAAGGGCAAGCAGAAAGCCUGUCUCUGUCCAAGAGAGAUUUUACGCCAUACUGGCAAAGAGGACCUUAAAUAAUGUAAUAUAUUAACCUGCCCUUGACACAGUAAAACUGUAGCACUCUGCGAUGAAUUGUACAAAAAGACAAUUAAAUAUUUCAACUCUAGUAUUUUCCACUCGCAUACCGUCCCUAGUGUUUCUCCCUCAGUCCCGAAGUGUUCCUUUUUUGUAGAUGUCAUGUCUCGGACUUGUAUUAAAGCAAUUAAAUGGGUCCUAUCCUGCUCAUUUCAGGGGUUUUAAAAUUAUAUUGGAUCCCCGUGGGCUCCAAUAAGUUUCCUUGAAUAAAAUACUACACAAAUAUACAAGUUGUGUACAUGGCAAAUCUGCAUUCUUCUCCUCUUGACUGAAACAGUCAAAUUGCUUCCCCAAGCAUACCUACUCUCGCAACUUUGAGAAAAAGAGUUCUUGUUGAAUGAGGCCAAUUGUCUGUUUGGAAAAACAUGAUGUACAUUGGAACCUAAGUCAGAAAUGCAGAAAAACAACUGAGAGCCAUAAAAAAAACUAUGGUAAAACUAGAAAUGCACUCAGAGCGCAAGGUGGAAGGAUUGUGGCAUUGGUAUUCUGCAAAACAGUGUAAUAAUCAACAAUCUCUCUCAGUAAUGAGAGAGGCAUCAGUAAUGUUCUGAGACAUGACAUUAGAUUAUAUUACCUUUCACACUGCAUGCAGACUGGCUACCGAGCCAGAGAGGCCAGCCGACAUGCCAUGGCUGAGAUUGAAUGAAAAAAAGCUUCUCCUCUCAUUCCAUGUGGAAGUGGUAGGGUUUUGGCUUUUUUUUCCUUCUUCCCCACUUCGUUUGAAACACUUUCUUAAGUUUAGAACAAGUAAAUUGGAGAGGCUAACUAGUUAGCUCUGUAGCUUGCUUUUCUGUGGCCGUCUCUUAUGUCCCUGCAGUGAUCCCGUAGCCUUGCGCAAUGUGAUGUUAACAAAGAAUAAUAGGAGUGUAAAAGUGACUAUAAGGGUGUAAAUUCAUGUCUACAGGGCUCUAAUAAUGUUAAAACCUGAAUUUAAACCGCCAUAAACUAAGAAAAUAUUCAUCCAUCCACUUUCUAUGCCGCUUAUCCUCAUGAGUGUCGUGGGGGUAUGCUGGAGCCUAUCCCAGCUGAGUUCGGUGAGAGGCUGGGUACACCUUGGACUGGUUUCCAGCCAAUCGCAGACAAAAAUAUUCAUUUUAUUAAUAUUGUAUACUACUUUGCGGAAAUUCACUUAUCGCGGCCGGGUCCGGAGCCAAUUCACCGUGCUAAAGGAGCAACACCUGUAAUAAGACCCAGCGCGUUUUCCAGCACGUCUGUGCCACAACUGCAUCUCUCCAGAGGAAAAGCUGACUUGUUUGGUUGAAGUUGUGGUGGCACCUGUUCGUUUGCAGACCAGUGUUUCCCAGCCUUGUUUGUCUUGUGUACCACCAGAGCCUUUUUGCCACACCAUGAGUACUCCCUCACUCAUACGUGGUGAUAAUUCUCCAAAAGUAGAAUGUAACACAACUGUUAUUGUCUCCCUGGGGAAACUAAGUGUAGCUCACAUGUUCCAUUUUAUUGUCUUUAUUGGCUUAAUAUGAAAUGACUGAGAAUAUUUACUUAUCAUCUUGGAAAUUAAAUGUUUCCACACCCCCCCUGCAAUUUUCUCACGUACCACUAGGGGUACACGUACCCUUAAUUGGCAAUAAUUGUUCUAGUGCCUAAAUAUAACUCUAAAUAUAAAACCAUCUUAAAUUAAAGCCUUAUAUUCAGACCAAUACCGGCCAGCAGCCACACUGCUCUUUACUCAUCUGUGAUUCAGCCUGUUUACAUCACUUCCUAAGAGAUUUAUUAUUUUUCUUUAUUUAUUUUUCUUUAUUAUUUUUUUACUGCACAAGGUGGAGCAGGAACAAUGACAUUGAUUAUAAAACAUGGGUGUCAUUUUGUAUGAGGAGGACAUCUGCAGUAGAGUGCGUGGGACUAUACCAACUUUGGAGAGGGGCGAACGGCCAUACAGUGUAUAGGGUCCGAUAAUUUCCACGUUAACGUAAUUGUGAAAUUGGCGAAUAAAACAGAAUCUACUGUUAAAGAUUGUGGAGUCUGAUACCACAGUUGUGGGAAAACACCCUACGGUACCCCUUCUCAAACAGCGGAACCACCACCCCAAUCUGCCAAUCUGCCCCAAUCUGCCAAACCAAGACUAUGUCUGAACUAUGUCACAACUUCUCAUCAGCUCAGGCUCCUUCCCCACCUGAGAGGUGAUAUUCCACGUGCACAGAGCCAGCUUCUGCGGUUGAGGAUUGGACCGCCAAGGUCCCUGCUUUUAGCUACCACCCUUCUCACACUGCACAUGAUGUCUUUGGCCCCUCCUAUGAGUGGUGAGAGCAAAUGGAGGGGGAACCCACCUUGCCUCUCUGGGCUGGGGCCCAUAGGUGCAGGCCCGCCCACCGGGCGCUCGCCAUUGUGCCCCACCACCAGGCCUGGCUCCAGAGUGGGGCCCACAACCAGGCAAGGGAAAACUCUAUCCUAAAUUGUCAGUCAUCAUUGGAACCUUCUGAAAUACUCUUUGUCAGGUCCCUCCUCUAUGAUCUGUUUGUUUUCGGUGAGUCCACCAGGGAUAUAAAAUUUAGCUCCUUGGAUCAUUAUUUCGGACAAGCAAACUCCUCCACUGGAUAAAUUGAUACCUCAAAAAGGAGGACCAACAUCCCUAAAGAGUAAAAGAGACAUUCAUUCUGACAAGUUGUGAAAACUAUCCUGACCAGUACAGUAUAACAUUUACUGGGUAUUAUUUUUGCAAUAAAGCAAUUCCUACAUUUUGACAGUGGAAUCAUUAAGUACCUGUGGUGUGUCAUGUCCGUGGUGUUUCAGACCUCCUGACGUAAUCCAGAUUACAUGUUAGUGAUGACUAGAGAUUACUGCACCAUCAUGACUGAUUUAGGUAUUAACUCACUGAUACCGCCCUGAUAAACCUUUUCCACUGAGCAGAUGAGGUAUCCCAGGUCAGGUGGAACAGCGUUUUGGAGAAUUCAUGAGCAUUUCAAAAAAAUAAAGUACAAAAUAAGUAAAAAAGCCAAUAACCAAGGAAUAGACUUGUAAAGUCACUUAUAAUGGUCUUGGAUUGCAAUUUGAAUAUUAUAGGCCAUCACAUAGCUGUUUUAGUCAUUUUAUUAAUCAAUUAUUAUUUUACAAUGAAUAUUAUUAGUUGCAGUGAUAUUUCUGUAAGUACUACAUCAUUAAUUAUAUGACUAACGUCAGCACAAACAUUAGAGGGUGUCUGUUUCAAAUCUAAUUAUCCAAACAGACCAAUGUAAAUUGCAAUACAAUAAUUUUAUGGGGUAACAUCUUUGAUUGUCACUGCCGUGAUAAUAAUAGGAAAAAUGGCAUUGCCCUCUGGUGGACAUGUGUGUUACUGGACAAUUGCUUUCAUUUCCAGUGUUGUCAAUUAUGUUGGUGGGACAAUCCACAUUAAAAUACAUAGGUAAAGCUAUAAAAUACCACUAUAAAUCAGCAUGUAAAAUUAAUGUAAUAAAAAUAAAUACAUGACAAGGUUGUCGGAAGUUUUUGGAUGACCUCUAAUACGUACUUCGCUGACACUCAUAUAAAAUAUUAUAUUAUCAAUUUCAAGUUUUUGCCUCCUGUUCCAUUUGCCUUAAAUAACUUCUCAAUUCAUGCAUAAAAACCUUCAUCAAAUCAUCUUCUCGUCUAUGUACCUGUUACAGUGUCUUUAGGUGAGGAUGCAUGUGAGUGUCCAUGCACAAUUGGACACAAGUAAAGUCACAUUGUUUCCGCCAAUCUAAUAGAGAACUCAUAUGUACAAUAUGCUAUUUGUCCUAUUGGUUGCCUCUGUAUCCUUGUGCAGGAUACUGAAAGUGCAGAGUUUUGGUGUCAUGGUGCAUGCCUUAAUUCAUAAUUGAAUGCAAAUGUUGCAGGAUAAAUACACAAGGAAUAUCAGUCACAGAUGGUCACCGCUGAUCUUCAGCAGCACGUCCCAUGUUGCCAAUUACACAUGCAAGGUUAGAACAGACUAUACUUACUGUUGGUGAUCUUUUGUAAGCCAAGCACAUCCUCGGGUGUGAUGACGCUGUUUCUGCGCAGUUCUUCCUCGGUGGUAACAGGGAUGCCCAUGUCUGAUGAGUUGCAGCCUUGCUGCACUUUCAUGUCCGGUGAGGAGCACUUGUGCGUGAAGCAGCCUGGCGGGAAAGAA